rnacentral:lncRNA from 1 species
CUUGAACCCAGACGGAGGAUCCUCUCUCGGCUCAGUGCGAGGAAGACGUCCAGACCGUCUGAGUACGGCGUCCCUUAACAUCUUACAGCGGGAAGACGAUGUUGCUUUGGGCAGCGGCCGUCGGUCCGGCCUCACGGUCGAGUGGCUGCCCGCCUGGACACUGUUUUCCCGAGGUGAAGUGACAGUGUCGGCUGAUGUCGUGCUCGGCGAUGGGUCCAGGACAAGGCGAGUCGGAGCAGCUGGAGCGACAGCCGGGUCACCUGGGUGGGCCGUGGCGUCAUCGGACAGUACCGUGUAGCGGUUGGAGAGGUCCAGGUGCGGUGGCGAGGCAGACCGGACCUCCCGACUGGUCCUACCACGGACCACCACCUCAGCCCAUGACUCCUGAUGGUUAGGAGUUGAGCAGGAAGAAAGCCGAAGGUUGGCGACAGGGUCCCAUUUGACGGUGUCCUGGAUAGUUGUGUUGAGGGAAGUGAUUUGUUUGGACUGCUCAGAUGCUACUUCCAUGAAACUGGACAGGAGUGAAUCCUUCUUUUUUAGUUCAUUGGAGAGCCGACGGAUGUCUUCUUUCAGGUGCUGAGCCUAGGGUGGUGGAUUGGUGUCCUGGUGGCGGCAUCCCUCUUGUGUUUUGCACUUUUUAGGUUGAUUUUGCUUCACUUUUAUUUACUUCACGUGUGGUGUUCCCGGGAUCCCCUUUGUUUUGGACCCAUCUCCCCCAAAGUCUCAGCCCUGGUCCCCCCCUUUUUACCCCCAUGGUUGGAGACCGGUGGUGGCGUGCUGGUGUCUUGGUGGUGGUGUCUACCCUUGUCUCGUUUGCUGUAUCCUGGGAGCGGGUUUACUCCAGUGUGUGCCACGUCUGUUGGGUGAUUUUGGUGGAACCCCCCCCCCGCACUAGUCAUUGUCCACUCACUCGGCUCCAAGCCCUUACUAACUUUUGGAUGACUGAUAUAAAGACUUUAUUUUAAAAGAGAGAAAUUAUUUAAUAAAAUUGUAUUUUUCUAUAACAUUUGAACCACGUCUCAUGCCUUUUAAUGAGUGGCCUUACCUGUGUGCCUUGCACUUUAAAUCAAUUCCUUGGGUGAAAUUCCCAGGGUGGCGUUGUUGGUUUCUUUUUCUUGUUUUUUAGUUAGAUCAUUUAGUUUAAUUUCCUUUCGCCUAUCUCUCGCUACACAAUCAUUGGGAAAACACAUCUAUUUAAAAUACUAAACACAACUCAAAUUGGAAAAGCACACAGACUCACACACAGGAAAACAUUUCAAAUCUAAUUCUAGACCAAUCAGUCUCAGCCAUAGCACUACAAAUACACCUGAUGUGAGCUCAGCUCCUUUGUGCCAACUUUGGAAACAUGGAAGGGAGAGGAAGAGCAGCAGCAGGACGAGUAAGCGGACGAAGAAGGGGAGCAGACAACAGAAGGAGACAAAUGUCCAAUGACAUGAGGGCCACUUUGAUGGACCAUGUUAUAAAUCAUGGCCUUACAAUGAGGGAGGCUGGGUAGAGAGUCCAUCCAAACCUGCCUCCUUAAAAAGCACAACAUCUCAAUGAAGCAGCUGUAUAGAGUUCCAUUCGAGAGGAACAGUGCAAGAGUCAAAGAUCACAGGUCACAUCACAGUAUUGUGUGUAAAUGUAUAUGUGACAGUCCUGUGUUUUCAAUCACACUAUAUGCACUGUACAUUAUCUACAUUUUUCUGUUUGAGAUUCCUGGAACUUGAUACAGCUCCACAGCA